CGAGAACAACAAAGUCCACUGGACUGAACCGUGCAAGUGCAUUGGCCACCUGAGCGAGAGUCACUGCAGGCAUCGUAAGGCUAGAAGUCAGAAGCCCAGCUGCUCCGAGGGAAGGCUCAAGGAGCAGUGAGGAGUGGGGCGAGACGACAGGAACCAAAGCUGGUUUUAAAAUACUGUCUCUGUGAAAAUGUCUUGACAUCUGAUAAUGAAGACUCAGUCCAUGAAGAAAGCAAAUUACCUGGUGUUCUGGGAAGACGGCAAGACAUUUUCCAGUAGGGGAGAGGGAGGCCUAUUGAAGAGAGAACAAGAGGUUUCAUCUCUGAAGAUUUCACAGACCAUGGAGGGCCCACAGCAAGGACCUGUCUGAAGAAAGGGGUCCCAAUAGCACCUACUAGCCAGCAGCCUGGCUCACGGAUGCCCUCCUGGAGACCACAUCUCCCAUCCUCUGUGCAGUAACAAGACAUCACUAUGUCAAGGAACACGGGCAUUUCCCCCAGAACACGUGUGCAGUGCUCACAAUGGCCAAGAGGCUGCCGCAUGGUCUGAGUGCCGGGCCACCACCACCACAGAGAUAAGCAGUGUCCUCACUCCCACCCUGUCUCCAUCCUCAGCCCUGAGCACACAUUAAUGUCAGCAAGGGUGACCCAGAGGUCGGUGGGGACUAUCACCUCUAUCCCAGCACCAAGGAGACUGACUCACAGGCUUUGAGUCAGCCCUCGAUUCAGGGCUCCACUGGCAAUUCCCUGCAUGACCUUGAGCAAGUUACUUGACCUCUCUCGACCUCCAACUUGUGGGUGAUGACACCUACCUCCCAGCACUGCUGUGGGGGUUCUAUGAACAGCUCAUGGGACUUCCCAGCACAUGUCUGGCAAGUUGAGUCUGUGCUUGCUUAGCUAAGGGAUCUGCUUCUACGCACUUGCCAUGAAACCCUCAUAUUCAACCUCAUGCUUCAGCAAAAUUACAAAGGAUGCUGCAAUCAUGGAACUUCUGAAUUGCUCAGAGUAGAAACCACCAAUAUUAAAACCGAGAUUGCCCCAGCAUUAGUGUGUAAUUGUAAAUAUGGUACAGAAUAAAUGUCAUACACAGUUAAACUUUUUUCUUCCAUGAAAAUGUAUUUUUAAAUAAACUCUUAACCUGGAAAACCAAAGAACAAAACCUCUGGCCUUUUACACAGAUAGAUGAGCUGCUACGGUUAAUGGCUCUCAGCUGUGCCAAAGCUGUAAACUCUUGCAGGCCCCCAUUAAUCCCUAGGAAACAUCCUGGCCAUAAUCAUCUGUGCUUAAUUGCAUCAUUAUCUCCUGGCUGCCAAAACACUUACAGCCCUUGAUUUUGCAGUUAAUGCCCUAGAAUUUACCCUAAACCAUGGCAGUUAUGUGGCUGAAAGUAGAGUCCUGGUCCUCGAAUGAUGAUUUUUCACAUUACUAUAUAUUCUUCAUAACCAUAAACAUAAAUAGCUUCACGGUAUUCUACCUAUUUGAUAUAUCGUAAUCAUGUUAAUCCAUUCAUCAAGGGUUGGGUGUCUAGCUGUAAGUUUUUGUUGUUAUAAAUGACAACCCUAAACAUUCUUGUACAUAUGGCUUUUCCCAUAUUUUGAAUAGUUUCCUAAGGAUACAUUCCAAGGAACCGGAUUACUGAGUCAAAGGGUAUGAAUAUUUGACUGACUUGUGAAACAUAUUGCCAAAUUGCUUUCCCAAAUGGGAAUAAUCAAUGUGCAAUGCCAUAAGCAACAGAAAAGUGCCAGACACAGUAUACAACGUCAGCACUAGGUAUUGGCAUUUAAAAUUUUCAUUUUAUUGAUCUAGUAGGUAAAGCAUUACAUGUUAUUUAGAUUUAAAUUACGCAUAAGGCUAAAUAUUUUUCCAGAUAUUGCUUCCUAGAUGGAUCCCCUCUUCAGUGAAUUGUCUGUUUAUGUUCCUGGCUCAUUUGCUAUUGUAGACCUGGCAUUUCUCUGCAGUUGUGGACACUCUGCACAAUGAAGUGCAAAAUUAGCCACAUACUUUCCACCUUCCCAGCCCCCAGUGCCUUCCUCCAAUCUGUUGGUCUCAGUGGCAUACCAAGGCUGGACAGUGGGGCAGUUGGCCCAGGUACGGGCAGUAAGGGGGCGCAGUGUCUGCAAUGAAUUUUAAAACAAUUAAAAAUCCAACUGAAAAUUGGUCUGCUUUUUAUUAUCACUGCAUGCGAGCAAUUCUAAACAAUACCAGUGGUAAAAUAUUUCCCCUCGCUGUACCCCACCCUCCUGAUACAGCAACCAAUUGGCCUGUUAAAAAACAGUGUAAACCGCCUAAGCCGUGAGGGCCUCUCCCAAGGCAGAGGCGGUGGGCUUGCCGCUGGGAUCUGAGCACGUCUGCUGAACAAAGGAACCUUGUUAAGACUCUGGUUUCCAUCCUACAAACUCACCUGGAACAGGGAACUGUCUAGUGUGUUUUUAAUGAAGUUGCCCAUAGCAGAGUGUUUCAAAUGUUUGGGUGUGUAUGAAUCCCCUUGGGGAUCUUGUUAAAAUGCAGAUUCUAACUCAGUGGGUCUGGGAUUCUGCAUUUCUAAUAAGUUCCUACGUUAUACAAUGGCAACACUGGUCUAGGGCCACACUUUCGAUAGAGCUCAAGGGAUGCUGAAAACAGGCUGUUUGCCCUACUCCCCAAAGACACCUUUCAACUCUGUUUUUCUUCCUUCCACUGAACUAAGGAUGCUUAGGCAGUCAGUGUAACAAGAACACAAACCUGACCUCCUCUUCUUUUCUGGAAUUCUGUUUAUUCCCAGGAUUUCUCCCCUUCUUGGGUUAGGAUUUUUAUGGUUUAUAGUCAACUGACAACAGUUAAGUCACACUGACGAACUACCACACAGCCUCAAGAGACCCUUGUCUUUUUGUGCUGUACUCUGUCAACUCCAGCCAGCCUGUCCCUCUGUGGCUGCUUCUAGCCUGUUCAAAUCGAGCCAAAACCCCAGAGCCCUGUCCUUAGCUACCUUGUCUCCCAUCCUGGAUGCAGGCUGUGUCCCUGCUGCUCAAGCUCAAGCUAUCUAUAAAGGGGGCAUUUAUGGAGUGGGGCCAAAGCAGUCACAGGGGGCCACCCAGACUCCACCCAUCCACACUCAGUUGUGUGCAAUGAGUGCUUCUAUCACUGCUCCCCUGGGGACCUCCAAGAUUUGAGCCUGGGGGGUUGUCUAAGGCUGCAGAGCAAAGUGCAAUGUACCUCAAGCCUCAUCCCUCAGUAGGCCUUGGACUAGAGAACCCUCUGGGGUAGAGGGAGAGCAGAGGGGGGUGUGGGGGAGUAGCAAAUCUGAUAGGGAGCACUUCGGUGUCAAGUUCCAGAUGGAAAACAUGGGAGGGAAAGGAGGCAGAGAGAUGCCCGGCAUUAUAACUGUUUUCCAUCAAGGCUUCUGACAGAAUGAAAACCUGGGCCCAAAAUGUAGAUUUUGUGUUCUCUACACCACCACUCCCAGCCCCCAGCCCCCAAAACUCAAUUCCCUGAGUUCUCAGCACUCACUCACUCUUUCCACCAGCCUGGCUCCCAUAAGCCCUUGCACAAGCACCGCUGUGGCUCUUCACCACGCUUGUAAUUACUGGAUUACAUGCUCAUUUUCUGCACAGGAUGAGCUUUGGUGUUAGAGACACAUGACAUUCUUGGCUCAGCUACUUUAUACAGGGUGCUGGGCAUGUCACUCUCUCCAUGCCCCAUUUCCCCAUCUAUAAAAAUGGGGAUUAUAAUACAUCUCCCAGGGUAGUUAGGGAAUCAGUGGAAUAAAGGACACCAAAUUCAAAACAGCUGCCUGAAACAAAUCAGGUACGUACACACAAAACUGUUCUCUCUCCAUGUUAUGUCCAUUUCUGUUCUUCCAACAUUUAAGAGCAUCUGACACUCUGUAUCCUUUACAGAAAAGAGGAGGAAAAUGGAAUUUUCUUGUUGUGGGGGGUUCAAUACCCAGGAGGUAAAUGGAAUGUCAGCUGAGACUGCCUGCCUUGUAGCCAGGAGCCCGGGGCAAAGUCAAGGUGCUCCCUGGGCGCUGAGGUUAGUUCUGGUUGAGAGACCAAGGCUCUCCUGUUUGCCCCAGAGAUAUUUUAUACUUAGAAAAUGUAAGUAUAUGUAAUGAAAGCUCUAAAAGGGAAUAAAUGUACAUAAAUGUCAGACAUUAAAGAAUCAAAAUGGUAGAGAAUUCAGAAAAUACAGGUAAAAAACAGAAAAACUCUUGUAACGAAAUGAGACCCACAAGCACUUGUUGGUGCUGAAUUGUUGUUAAAGGACUUUGAGGAGAGAGGACCUGGGUCUGAAACCCUACCAUCCCCUUUGCAGCAGUGACUGGGGGCCGGUGCAUUUACCACUUUGAGCCCAAGGUUUCUCAUGGGUUAAAACCACGUCUUUUCUCCAGAAUUCAGUCAUGAUUAAAUGAGAUCCUGUGUGUAGAGAGUCACACAGGACCUGGCCAAAGUAGGGUCUCCACAAGCCAAAGUUCUUCACAAUGAGAGGACUGUGCCAGAGAAGUAAGACACAGAGGGAUACAGAGCCCAUGAAUCAUCAAAAGAUGGGAGAGCUGGGAGGGAGGGCUGUUCUUUCAUGUAGACAUGUGAUACGUGCAGGACCCAAAGGAGCACUCGGGAUGGAACCCUCUUCCUUUCCCAGGCUAGAGUUGCUUCUUUUUCUGUGCAGCAAAUGAAAUCACAGAUGCUGCAUCUGGGUGCAAUCUACUGGAAUUUCCGGGUUCCUCCUGGAAUAUCAGAGACCCUUAGAAUAAAGUUUUAAAAGAAAAAAAAAAGCCUUGGUUUCCUAUUUGAUUUUAUCUAAUUGCUCUACAUUUUCACUAUAUUUAGAGCAGCUAAGUUCUAGGCUUGUGUGAGGCCUGACUGCAACUGCAGUGCCCAGGUACAGAAAUCUGUACCAGAAUAUUCUUAGCCAUCCAGCCUUUGGACACUUCCAAUGGUGAUGCCACCCUAUGUUAAGCAGCUCAGACUUUCAUAGUCAACAGUCAUUACUGGAAGAG